rnacentral:rRNA from 1 species
AUGACUUCAACCAAUGACACCAACGAAACACAUGCCAAGACCCUGACCCUGAAAUACGAGGAGACGCAGGGCAAGACCUGGAGCUCGACUGUUAGCCUCAAGAUCGGUGUCACGACCAAGUUAAGAGCCGGGAUCCCGGUCAUAGCAGAAGGGAAGGUUGAGGUAUCCACUGAAUUCAACUCAGAGUACGAAUGGGGGUCAUCCAUUCAGACAACGACAUCACAAGAGGCCUCCUACCAGGCUGUGGUGCCUCCGAUGACCAAGGUGACAAUCAGAGCGGCUGCGACUCAGGGUUCUAUUGACGUCCCGUUCUCCUACACUCAGAGGGACAUUCUGAUUACAGGAGAGGUUGUUACCUACAAGAUGGAUGAUGGCCUGUUCACUGGUAUGAACAACUAUAAUUUCCAAUUUGAAGCCACACAAGAGCGCAUCUGA